AUACCUCUCUGUGUGGGGAAGGGGGCCUUUGGACACUUGUCCCAGUUCCUCCAUCCGAAAAUGGGUGAAUCGGACCAGACCAGGUUUCAUGUUAAUCUUAAGAAUGGCAUAUUUGUGGACUUCCUAAACACGUUCCUCAGCUUACCGGUAUUUGGACAGAUUCCGAUCUACAUUUUAAAAGACAGUCAAUGGGAACUCCAGCCUAACCUGCCGUCCAAUAUGGUGAGCUCAAGGGAUUGAACCAUAGGAUACUGAUAGGAUCAAACAGUGCACAGCCUGUACGUCCCCCUGCACUGCACCCAUUCCCUCUGCCCAGAUUUGACCUAAAUGAUGGAACAUUUUGUUGGGGGUGUGGAGGGGGAGGGCACAGGGAAGAUCCUGGACCACUGUCUUGUUCAAAUGCUCUGUCAUUGAUUUUGUGAAUCUGUUUACGAUUUGAAUGCUCACUGUGCUUGAUUGGUUAAGCCUGGAUGUGGACUCAGAGAAAAGUAAACAAAGCUGUAGAAAGAGCU